UACGUAGGGGGCGAGCGUUGUCCGGAUUUAUUGGGCGUAAAGAGCUCGUAGGCGGCUUGGCAAGUCGGGUGUGAAACCUCCAGGCUCAACCUGGAGACGCCACUCGAUACUGCCAUGGCUAGAGUCCGGUAGGGGACCACGGAAUUCCUGGUGUAGCGGUGAAAUGCGCAGAUAUCAGGAGGAACACCGGUGGCGAAGGCGGUGGUCUGGGCCGGAACUGACGCUGAGGAGCGAAAGCGUGGGGAGCGAACAGG
rnacentral:rRNA from 1 species